CGUAUUGGACGGACAGUUUGACGUCACCAACAACAACAACAACAAUGAAGAAAUAAGAAACAUGCAGUUAUUCUGAUUAUACUGGAAAAGAAACAUACCCUGGAGGCCAUGUUGGCGUGUCUCAUACCUUAAAGAGUCGAUCGGAGCCCUGAAGUGCUGCUGUGGGAAGACCAUCACAGGACUGGAGUUGACGGGCAGAGCCAGUCUGUUGUUCAGAAUCCAUUAUGAAACACAACUGCAGAAUCAAAGGACAACACAUCCAGGACAGAUGCUCACAGGGGACAGAGGCUACCACACA